AGUCGUAACAAGGUAUCCGUAGGUGAACCUGCGGAUGGAUCAUUAACAAAGAUUUUAAAAAGUCUUGUGAACUGUAUAUUAGAACGUUGUCUAGCCUAGGCGACCUUGCGUAGUCUAGCCUGGGCGACCUUGCGUAGUCUAGCCUAGGCAACACCCAAACGUAUAUAAACUUAACCUGACGUCUACCUUUAGCGUAGUAAAAACUAAACUAAAGACAACUUUUAGCAACGGAUCUCUUGGCUCUC
rnacentral:misc_RNA from 1 species